AUACGGAGGACGCGAGCGUUAUCCGGAUUCAUUGGGUUUAAAGGGUGCGCAGGCGGCCGUGCAAGUCAGCGGUGAAAGCCCGGGGCUCAACCCCGGAAGUGCCGUUGAUACUGCAUGGCUGGAAUGCGGUCGAGGCGGGCGGAACGUGGCGGGUAGCGGGGAAAUGCGUAGAUAUGCCACAGAACGCCGAGAGCGGAGGCAGCUCGCCAGGCCUGCAUUGACGCUCGGGCACGAAAGCGUGGGGAGCGAACAGGAUUAAAUGCCCUGGUAGUCCACGCCGUAAACGAUGGGCGCUCGUCGUCGGCGGCAGACAGUCGGCGGCCAAGCGAAAGCGAUAAGCGCCCCACCUGGGGAGUUCGGUCGCAAGGCUGAAACUCAAAGGAAUUGACGGGG
rnacentral:rRNA from 1 species